UACAGAGGGUGCGAGCGUUGUUCGGAAUUAUUGGGCGUAAAGGGCGCGUAGGCGGUGCGGUAAGUCACCUGUGAAAUCUCCUGGCUCAACUGGGAGCUUGCAGGCGAAACUGCCGUGCUGGAGUGUGGGAGAGGUGCGUGGAAUUCCUGGUGUAGCGGUGAAAUGCGUAGAUAUCAGGAGGAACACCUGUGGCGAAGGCGGGUCUCUGGGCCGUAACUGACGCUGAGGAGCGAAAGCGUGGGGAGCGAACAGG
rnacentral:rRNA from 1 species